GACGGGACCGCACAAGCGGUGGAUGAUGUGGAUUAAUUCGAUGCCAACGACGAAAACCUUACCUACCUUGACAUGUCCGGAAUCCGAAGAGAUUUGGGAGUGCUCGCAAGAGAACCGGAACACAGGUGCUGCAUGGCUGUCGUCAGCUCGUGUCGUGAGAUGUUGGGUUAAGUCCCGCAACGAGCGCAACCCUUAUCAUUAGUUGCUACGCAAGGGCACUCUAAUGAGACUGCCGGUGACAACCGGAGGAAGGUGGGGGAUGACGUCAAGUCCUCAUGGCCCUUAUGGGUAGGGCUUCACACGUCAUACAAUGGUCGGUACAGAGGGUUGCCAAGCCGCGAGGCGGAGCCAAUCCCACAAAGCCGAUCGUAGUCCGGAUUGUUCUCUGCAACUCGAGAGCAUGAAGUCGGAAUCGCUAGUAAUCGCAGGUCAGCAUACUGCGGUGAAUACGUUCCCGGGUCUU
rnacentral:rRNA from 1 species